GGAACACAGACGGACUCCGAAUGGAAGCUUGCUCAAGCUCACUUUCACUGGGGAAGGUCUGCGAACGAGGGAAGUGAGCACUUCAAGCAGGGGG
rnacentral:ribozyme from 9 species